rnacentral:rRNA from 1 species
CUUGUACACACCGCCCGUCACACCACGGAAGCAAGCAACACCCGAAGCCUGUGGCCUAACCCGCAAGGGGGGGAGCAGUCGAAGGUGGGGCUCGUGACUGGGGUG